rnacentral:rRNA from 1 species
GAUGAACGCUAGCGGCAGGCUUAAUACAUGCAAGUCGUGGGGCAACAUGAGUAGCAAUACUUGAUGGCGACCGGCAAAACGGGUGAGGAACACGUACACAACCUUCCUUCAAGCGGGGAAUAGCCCAGAGAAAUUUGGAUUAAUACCCCCAUAAUAUAUUUGAUAAGGCAUCUUAUUAAUAUUAAAAGCUUCGGCACUUGAUGAUGGGUGUGCGGCUGAUUAGAUAGUUGGCGGGGUAACGGCCCACCAAGUCUACGAUCAGUAGCUGAUGUGAGAGCAUGAUCAGCCACACGGGCACUGAGACACGGGGCCCCGAUCCUACGGGAGGCAGCAGUAAGGAAUAUUGGACAAUGGACGAAAGUCUGAUCCAGCCAUGCCGCGUGAGUGAAGAAGGCCCUCGGGUU